GGGGUGCCGCCGAAGCCCGGCACAAGAUGUAUGCUCGUGCUCGCUGUCGCCGCAGGGGAAUCCGGUGCAAAUCCGGAACUGUCCCGCAACGGUGUACUGGUACGUGUUUGCGUACUUGUUCAGUCCGAGGACCUGCCGAACAGCGCGCCCUGGCC
rnacentral:ncRNA from 16 species